rnacentral:rRNA from 1 species
UACGGAGGAUGCAAGCGUUAUCCGGAAUUAUUGGGCGUAAAGCGCGCGCAGGUGGUUUCUUAAGUCUGAUGUGAAAGCCCACGGCUCAACCGUGGAGGGUCAUUGGAAACUGGGGAACUUGAGUGCAGAAGAGGAGAGUGGAAUUCCAAGUGUAGCGGUGAAAUGCGUAGAUAUUUGGAGGAACACCAGUGGCGAAGGCGACUUUCUGGUCUGUAACUGACACUGAGGCGCGAAAGCGUGGGGAGCAAACAGG